rnacentral:rRNA from 1 species
UACGGGGGGGGCAAGCGUUGUUCGGAAUUACUGGGCGUAAAGGGUUCGUAGGUGGCUUGCUAAGUCAAACGUGAAAUCCCUCAGCUUAACUGGGGAACUGCGUCUGAUACUGGCGAGCUUGAGUGCAGGAGAGGAGAUUGGAAUUUACGGUGUAGCAGUGAAAUGCGUAGAUAUCGUAAGGAAGACCAGUGGCGAAGGCGAAUCUCUGGACAGUUACUGACACUGAGGCACGAAGGCCAGGGGAGCAAACGGG